AGUGAACGCUGGCGGUAGGCCUAACACAUGCAAGUCGAACGGCAGCACAGUAAGAGCUUGCUCUUACGGGUGGCGAGUGGCGGACGGGUGAGGAAUACAUCGGAAUCUACUUUUUCGUGGGGGAUAACGUAGGGAAACUUACGCUAAUACCGCAUACGACCUACGGGUGAAAGCAGGGGAUCUUCGGACCUUGCGCGAUUGAAUGAGCCGAUGUCGGAUUAGCUAGUUGGCGGGGUAAAGGCCCACCAAGGCGACGAUCCGUAGCUGGUCUGAGAGGAUGAUCAGCCACACUGGAACUGAGACACGGUCCAGACUCCUACGGGAGGCAGCAGUGCGGAAUAUUGGACACUGGGCGCAAGCCUGAUCCAGCCAUACCGCGUGGGUGAAGAAGGCCUUCGGGUUGUAAAGCCCUUUUGUUGGGAAAGAAAAGCAGCAGGUUAAUACCCCGCUGUUCUGACGGUACCCAAAGAAUAAGCACCGGCUAACUUCGUG
rnacentral:rRNA from 1 species